GCUGAGCCUUGGAACAGCUUGUCAGUACAGGACAUUAGUUCAAUCCUCAAAAAAAAAAGUUCCAUCUCAAAACUCGACUCUGACCUACGUGGUUCUCGAAACCUGCCGCCGCCACAGACAUCUACUCCCCACUCCCCAAGCUGUUGUUGCUCCGGCUGGCCGGCGAUGGAGGACGCUGGGCUUGAGUUCUUGCUGGAUGACGUCGACCGGUUUCUGCUGCGAGAAGAGUUCACCAACAGCUUGGAACAAACCAGAUCCCGUCCCUCUAGCGGUGCUCCCGCGGCUGAAUACUGCCCCUGCUGCGCCGGCGGACUCAAAUGCUGGCUCCGGGUGCGGUCAGCAUGUUGGUUGCGCUAGCCCCGGGAGGCCGGAGGCAGACAAGCGCCGGCGACGGCAGGCUUCUCUGACGAGGUUUGCACAGUGCACUGACAGGGGCAAUCCCGGGCGCUGUUUACAGUUUUUUUUUGGCAAAUGUUGUGAUGGCUACAAAUAGGUUACGCCUUGGGAGUGCACUGCCGGACAGAACGCCGUGUCCAUCUAGGAUGAGCACCUUAGAGCAGAAUGUUUUCCCUUUUAACCCAUGGGAUCCCCAUCUCUUCCUCCUCCCUCUUCAACUUCUUCAAUCUGCAACACAUCUGCAGCCCAAGACUGCCUCGCAGCUCGUCAAAUUAUCAGCCAUCACGGGCAACAGCCAGGGUCAUUACGGCCGUGACGUCUGGUCCUUCUACUUUGGAUGUUUUAGCCAAGCCCACUGUAUUGGAGCGUAGGGCAAUACAUUGAUGCCAAUGGCCUUGCAUAGCCAUGUGCAUGUUCGUGGGAUGUCUAUAAAUGAUGCUCUUGAGUGAAUUUUGGGUCACUAUCACAUUAUCUAUGGCGGCAAUUUUUUUAUCUCUGUCAAAGUCUCCACAAGGCUUCCUUGAAAAAAGAGUAUUUACUAGGCAUUUGAUGAAAAUCAAGGCAGGCUUGCAUGUGAAAAAUUGUAUAUUCAAA